GAUGAACGCUAGCGGGAGGCCUAACACAUGCAAGCCGAGCGGUAUUUGUUCUUCGGAACAGAGAGAGCGGCGCACGGGUGCGGAACACGUGUGCAACCUGCCUUUAUCUGGGGGAUAGCCUUUCGAAAGGAAGAUUAAUACCCCAUAAUAUAUUGAGUGGCAUCAUUUGAUAUUGAAAACUCCGGUGGAUAGAGAUGGGCACGCGCAAGAUUAGAUAGUUGGUGAGGUAACGGCUCACCAAGUCAAUGAUCUUUAGGGGGCCUGAGAGGGUGAUCCCCCACACUGGGACUGGGACAAGGGCCCGACUCCUACGGGAAGCAGGAGUGAGGAAUAAUGGACAAAGGGUUAGCGCCUGAUCCAGCCAUCCCGCGGGGAGGACGACCGCCCUAUGGGUUGUAAACUUCUUUUGUAUAGGGAUAAACCUACUCCCGUGAGAGUAGCUGAAGGUACUAUACGAAUAAGCACCGGCGAACUCCGU
rnacentral:rRNA from 1 species